rnacentral:lncRNA from 1 species
CCAUGUGGCUCACAACAUAACUACUCGGCGUUGCUUCUACAGCUAGGGGUUGAAUCGGAGCUGUAGCCGCCGGCCUACGCCAGAGCCACAGCAACGCGGGAUCCGAGCCGCGUCUGCAACCUACACCACAGCUCACGGCAACGCCGGAUCGUUAACCCACUGAGCAAGCCGCAACCUCAUGGUUCCUAGUCGGAUUCGUUAACCACUGCGCCACGACGGGAACUCCUAAUCUUUAACCUGCUGAGUCACCAGGGAACUCCAUG